rnacentral:rRNA from 1 species
GUCCACGCCGUAAACGGUGGAUGCUGGAUGUGGGGCCCGUUCCACGGGUUCCGUGUCGGAGCUAACGCGUUAAGCAUCCCGCCUGGGGAGUACGGCCGCAAGGCUAAAACUCAAAGAAAUUGACGGGGGCCCGCACAAGCGGCGGAGCAUGCGGAUUAAUUCGAUGCAACGCGAAGAACCUUACCUGGGCUUGACAUGUUCCCGACGAUCCCAGAGAUGGGGGUUUCCCUUCGGGGCGGUUCACAGGUGGUGCAUGGUCGUCGU